rnacentral:lncRNA from 1 species
AGCAUUCUCAGCCCUGCUACCGUAAGUAUUGGAUGCAACACAAAAAAAUCCAGAGACAGAUGAUUUGACCACAGAAAUGUGAACGGCGGCUCAUUUGACUGCAGUCAAUGUGAAGAUAGCAUCUUUUCUUCUCCAGAACCUGAACUAGAGACGCUAGCCGGACCAGAUGAGGGUUUAGUGCAGAAAGAAGAUCAUUCAGGAAAAACAGUUUGAUUGACAGCAAUUUAAAAGGAGAAAUACUCAAAAACAAAAUUUUUGGCUGUUGCGGAUCAAGACGAGGACCAGUGCGUUCGGAGGAUUUAAAAAGAAAAGAAUCAUUUUAUUAGUUUACAGGAUCUUUUUUUUAAUCACAUCCGUUCUGGUCCAAAUGAAGAAUAAACUGUAUGUUUUAAUGCAUACGGCCCAUAUUCAAAAGGAUAUGGGUCAGACCGGAUCUUUUUAUAAACCGUUCUGCUUAUAUUUGUGGGUCACUCUGCUUUUUUUACAUUCAGAGUUCUGGAAAUAAAUCAGAAAUGGCCUUGAUCUGCCACACAGUGAGGGUCAUUUGUUAAAAAUGAAAAGGAACUAAAAAGUGCAC